UGCCAGCAGCCGCGGUAAUACGGAGGGGGUUAGCGUUGUUCGGAAUUACUGGGUUUAAAGGGUCCGUAGGCGGUUUUUUAAGUCAGAGGUGAAAUCCUGCAGCUCAACUGUAGAAUUGCCUUUGAUACUGAAAGACUUGAGUUAUUGUGAAGUGGUUAGAAUGUGUGGUGUAGCGGUGAAAUGCAUAGAUAUCACACAGAAUACCAAUUGCGAAGGCAGAUCACUAACAAUAUACUGACGCUCAGGGACGAAAGCGUGGGUAGCGAACAGGAUUAGAUA
rnacentral:rRNA from 1 species